GACGAACGCUGGCGGCGUGCUUAACACAUGCAAGUCGUACGGUAAGGCCCUUUCGGGGGUACACGAGUGGCGAACGGGUGAGUAACACGUGAGUAACCUGCCCACAACUUUGGGAUAACGCUAGGAAACUGGUGCUAAUACUGGAUAUGUGCUCCUGCUGCAUGGUGGGGGUUGGAAAGCUCCGGCGGUUGUGGAUGGACUCGCGGCCUAUCAGCUUGCUGGUGGGGUAGUGGCCUACCAAGGCGGCGACGGGUAGCCGGCCUGAGAGGGUGACCGGCCACAUUGGGACUGAGAUACGGCCCAGACUCCUACGGGAGGCAGCAGUGGGGAAUAUUGCACAAUGGGCGCCAGCCUGAUGCAGCAACGCCGCGUGCGGGAUGACGGCCUUCGGGUUGUAAACCGCUUUCAGCAGGGACGAAGCUUUUUGUGACGGUACCUGCAGAAGAAGCACCGGCUAACUACGUG
rnacentral:rRNA from 1 species